GAUGAACGCUGGCGGCGUGCCUAAUACAUGCAAGUCGAGCGAACGGACGAGAAGCUUGCUCCUCUGAUGUUAGCGGCGGACGGGUGAGUAACACGUGGAUAACCUACCUAUAAGACUGGGAUAACUUCGGGAAACCGGAGCUAAUACCGGAUAAUAUUUUGAACCGCAUGGUUCAAAAGUGAAAGACGGUCUUGCUGUCACUUAUAGAUGGAUCCGCGCUGCAUUAGCUAGUUGGUAAGGUAACGGCUUACCAAGGCAACGAUGCAUAGCCGACCUGAGAGGGUGAUCGGCCACACUGGAACUGAGACACGGUCCAGACUCCUACGGGAGGCAGCAGUAGGGAAUCUUCCGCAAUGGGCGAAAGCCUGACGGAGCAACGCCGCGUGAGUGAUGAAGGUCUUCGGAUCGUAAAACUCUGUUAUUAGGGAAGAACAUAUGUGUAAGUAACUGUGCACAUCUUGACGGUACCUAAUCGGGAAGCCACGGCUAACUACGUG
rnacentral:rRNA from 1 species